rnacentral:rRNA from 1 species
UACGGGGGGGGCAAGCGUUGCUCGGAAUUACUGGGCGUAAAGGGCUCGUAGGUGGCCAACUAAGUCAGACGUGAAAUCCCUCGGCUUAACCGGGGAACUGCGUCUGAUACUGGAUGGCUUGAGUUCGGGAGAGGGAUGCGGAAUUCCAGGUGUAGCGGUGAAAUGCGUAGAUAUCUGGAGGAACACCGGUGGCGAAGGCGGCAUCCUGGACCAACACUGACGCUGAGGAGCGAAAGCCAGGGGAGCAAACGGG